rnacentral:lncRNA from 1 species
GUGAUUGUCACAGGAUAUAGCUUUGAAGAAUCCUGCGCUUAGCCUGGGCUGGGAAAGAUGAGAUUCCCGGGCAGUUUUUCCAACGUCCGACUCACUCCUCAGGCUGCUCGGGGGUCUCCCCGUUGCAAUCUGCGCCUUGCGCAGGGAAAAAAGAAUGGAAAGUUGCUGGUCUUCGAAAGGGGCGGACUUCGUCGCCACUUUCAGCGGCUCGUCGCCUGCUGAAUCCACAGCAGCAAUGUUCACAGCAUCUUCACCGGGAGAAGAUUCUAUCUUAAGGAAACUCUUUUCUCAUGCAUAAGAAGCACCUCCUUACCUGUUAAAAGUUUAAUCAUGAGAUUGCAGGAAUUCAGUCACAUCUUCAGGCUCCACUUCUAAUUCUAGUUCUCUUGGUAUUCCACCGCACCUGCAGUGACUUCCUCCACCGAAGUCUUGAACCUCUCAAAGUCAUCCAUGAGGGUUGGAAUCAACUUCUUCCAAAGUCCUGUUAAUGUUUGUAGUGUUAUGAAAUAUAUAUACAUAUAGGUUUUCAUACACAGGAAACAGAAUCUCUUUGACCUUCUCUUGCCUUCCUUUUACCUGCCUUCCUUUCACCUACCCCAAAGCAGGACUCUAAUCUUCUGCUUUUAUAAUUGUGGAUCAUAAGACUCAUUUCAGAGAGGGUCCCAACCCAUGGCCUGGGGGAAGGAAUGCUGAUAUAAUGAAGCUUCCAUAAAAAUCCAAGAGGACAGCUUCCUGAUAGCUGAACAAGUGGAGGUUUCUGGGGAAUGGCUACCUGGGGAGGGCAUGGGAGCUCCGUGUCCCUUCCUCCAUACCUCUCCCUGUGCAUCUCUUCAUCUGGAUCCUUCGUGAUAUCCUUUAUAAUAAACUGGUAAAUAUAA